CAACUCUGUGUGACUUUGACGACUACAUCACACAAGCGUCAUGGCAGCCCUGUGAAGAGGCUGACUUGGAAAAAAAAAAAAAAAAGAAAUGCUUCUGCCAACGUCCAGCAACAUCUUCCAGCCAUAUGAAUGAGCCACCUUGGAAGUGGAUCCUCCAGCUCCAAACAAGUCUUCAGAUGUGUGUAACCCCAGCCAAUAUCCAACUGAAACCUCAUGAGAGACCCUUGGCCGGAACUACCUAGCCAAGCAACUCCUGAAAUCCUGAUCACAGAAACAGUAAGAGUCUCCACAGAGAAUAGAGCAGGAGUUGAUGAGUCUUGCAAUGAGAGAAUUGAUGAAAUACUUAAGGAAGAACUUCUUAACUGAAGGGCAAUUAAACACAAAUGGCUUUGCAUGGGAGGAUAUGGAAAUC
rnacentral:lncRNA from 1 species